UGGGGAAUUUUGGACAAUGGGCGAAAGCCUGAUCCAGCAAUGCCGCGUGUGUGAAGAAGGCCUUCGGGUUGUAAAGCACUUUUGUCCGGAAAGAAAUGGCUCUGGUUAAUACCUGGGGUCGAUGACGGUACCGGAAGAAUAAGGACCGGCUAACUACGUGCCAGCAGCCGCGGUAAUACGUAGGGUCCGAGCGUUAAUCGGAAUUACUGGGCGUAAAGCGUGCGCAGGCGGUUGUGCAAGACCGAUGUGAAAUCCCCGAGCUUAACUUGGGAAUUGCAUUGGUGACUGCACGGCUAGAGUGUGUCAGAGGGGGGUAGAAUUCCACGUGUAGCAGUGAAAUGCGUAGAGAUGUGGAGGAAUACCGAUGGCGAAGGCAGCCCCCUGGGAUAACACUGACGCUCAUGCACGAAAGCGUGGGGAGCAAACAGG
rnacentral:rRNA from 1 species